GGGGUUGUGGCUCAAUGGUAGAGUGCUUGCUUAUCAUGUGUGAGGCCCUGGGUUCGAUCCUCAGCACCA
rfam:Ictidomys tridecemlineatus contig005818, whole genome shotgun sequence.